GUAUUCCAGCUCCAAUAGCGUAUAUUAAAGUUGUUGCAGUUAAAAAGCUCGUAGUUGGAUUUGUGGUGGUACCUGAAUGCCAUUUUUUGGUUCAGUCAGUUGCUGCCAUCUUUGGGUGAAGUUUGUGUGGCAUUAGGUUGUCAUGCAGAGGAUGCCUAUCAUUUACUGUGAAAAAAUCAGCGCGUUCAAAGCAGGCUUAUGCCAUUGAAUGUAUUAGCAUGGAAUAAUAAGAUAGGACCUUGGUACUAUUUUGUUGGUUUGUGCACCGAGGUAAUGAUUAAUAGGGACAGUUGGGGGUAUUCGUAUUCCAUUGUCAGAGGUGAAAUUCUUGGAUUUUUGGAAGACGAACUACUGCGAAAGCAUUUACCAAGGAUGUUUUCAUUAAUCAAGAACGAAAGUUAGGGGAUCGAAGAUGAUUAGAUACCAUCGUAGUCG
rnacentral:rRNA from 1 species